ACCGAUGAUUUUAUUACAAUCCAACUUGUCCGAGGCUGCAGUGUAUCCAAGUCCCUGUUUUCAGGGAGAACCUACUUGGUGUUGCUGCAUUUCCAAUGACAUAAACAGGUUUAACUGAGGU